UACCAGCACCCAGAGUGGUCGGUACGAUUAUUGGGCCUAAAGCAUCCGUAGCCGGUCCUACAAGUCUUCCGUUAAAUCCACCUGCUUAACAGAUGGGCUGCGGAAGAUACUAUAGGGCUAGGAGGCGGGAGAGGCAAGCGGUACUCAGUGGGUAGGGGUAAAAUCCUCUGAUCCAUUGAAGACCACCAGUGGCGAAGGCGGCUUGCCAGAACGCGCUCGACGGUGAGGGAUGAAAGCUGGGGGAGCAAACCGG
rnacentral:rRNA from 1 species